AUGGGCCAGAGCCACCGCCGACUCUUGCUCGUAUCUUUGUCCGUGCUGCUUCUCACAGCCACGCCCGUCGCCGCCGACAGCACGUUGACACAGCGGAGUGCCAUCGCCGCCGACCAGAGGCUGGUCUCGCCGGGAGACGUCUUCCAGCUCGGCCUCUUCCCCGUCGCCAACGGCACCAAGUGGUUCCUCGGCAUAUGGUUCACCGUCUCCCCGGCCGCCGUCAUCUGGGUCGCCAACCGCGACCGCCCGCUCAACGCCUCGUCCUCCGGCAUCCUCGCGCUCAGCGGCCGAGGAGACCUCGUGCUCCUCGACGCCGCGAGGGACAACGAGACCGUCUGGUCGUCCAACUCCUCGUCCGCGACGGUAGCGCAGCUCCGCGACAACGGCAACCUGGUGCUCGCGGACGCGGCCGGC
rnacentral:rRNA from 1 species